ACAUAGCCAAAUCUUUCCCUUGGGAGUAACAGCCUUAUGGUUGAAAUCCCAUUUCGAGGAGGGGUUUUAGUCGGUAGGCGGUAAGGCGAAUCCGACACUACCCCACUUCAGGUGGUGUCUUUUGAAGAUUUCCCCUCCUCGAGAC
rfam:Agrilus planipennis Contig5391, whole genome shotgun sequence.